GAUGAAGAACGUAGCGAAAUGCGAUACGUAAUGUGAAUUGCAGAAUUCAGUGAAUCAUCGAGUCUUUGAACGCACAUAGCGCCCCCUGGUAUUCCGGGGGGCAUGCCUGUCCGAGCGUCAUUGCUGCCCUCAAGCACGGCUUGUGUGUUGGGCCUCCGUCCUCCUCCCGGGGGACGGGCCCGAAAGGCAGCGGCGGCACCGCGUCCGGUCCUCGAGCGUAUGGGGCUUCGUCACCCGCUCUUGUAGGCCCGGCCGGCGCUUGCCGACACAUCAAUCUUUUUUCCAGGUUGACCUCGGAUCAGGUAGGGAUACCCGCUGAACUUAAGCAUAUCAAUAAGCGGAGGA
rnacentral:misc_RNA from 1 species